rnacentral:rRNA from 1 species
GACGAACGCUGGCGGCGUGCUUAACACAUGCAAGUCGAACGGAAAGGCCCUGCUUUUGUGGGGUGCUCGAGUGGCGAACGGGUGAGUAACACGUGAGUAACCUGCCCUUGACUUUGGGAUAACUUCAGGAAACUGGGGCUAAUACCGGAUAGGAGCUCCUGCUGCAUGGUGGGGGUUGGAAAGUUUCGGCGGUUGGGGAUGGACUCGCGGCUUAUCAGCUUGUUGGUGGGGUAGUGGCUUACCAAGGCUUUGACGGGUAGCCGGCCUGGGAGGGUGACCGGCCACAGUGGGAUUGGGGUAGGGCCCGGACCCAAACGGGAGGAAGGGGGGGGGAAUUGACCAAACAGGGCGGAAGGCGGGAGGAAGAACGCCGGGGGGGGGAUGACGGCCUUCGGGGAGGAACAAAUUUUCACGUGGGAAGAAGCGUCGGGAAGGGAAAUGGUGAAAAAAGCACGGCUAAAUUCGGG